CCUACGGGAGGCAGCAGUGGGGAAUAUUGGACAAUGGGCGGAAGCCUGAUCCAGCAAUACCGCGUGUGUGAAGAAGGCCUGAGGGUUGUAAAGCACUUUCAAUGGGAAGGAAUACCUACUGGCGAAUACCCGGUAGACUGACAUUACCCAUACAAGAAGCACCGGCUAACUCCGUGCCAGCAGCCGCGGUAAU
rnacentral:rRNA from 1 species